GAUGAACGCUAGCGGCAGGCCUAACACAUGCAAGUCGAGGGGUAUAGUUCUUCGGAACUAGAGACCGGCGCACGGGUGCGUAACGCGUAUGCAAUCUACCUUUUACAGGGGAAUAGCCCAGAGAAAUUUGGAUUAAUGCCCCAUAGUGUUAUAGAAUCGCAUGGUUUUAUAACUAAAGUUCCAACGGUAAAAGAUGAGCAUGCGUCCCAUUAGUUAGUUGGUAAGGUAACGGCUUACCAAGACAAUGAUGGGUAGGGGUCCUGAGAGGGAGAUCCCCCACACUGGUACUGAGACACGGACCAGACUCCUACGGGAGCAGCAGUGAGGAAUAUUGGACAAUGGGCGCAAGCCUGAUCCAGCCAUGCCGCGUGCAGGAAGACGGUCCUAUGGAUUGUAAACUGCUUUUGACAGGAAGAAACNCUCCCUCGUGAGGGAGCUUGACGGUACUGUAAGAAUAAGGAUCGGCUAACUCCGUGCCAGCAGCCG
rnacentral:rRNA from 1 species